CAUGCUUUUGACGGGUAACGGGGAAUUAGGGUUCGACUCCGGAGAGGGAGCCUGAGAAACGGCUACCACAUCCAAGGAAGGCAGCAGGCGCGCAAAUUACCCAAUCCCAACAUGGGGAGGUAGUGACAAGAAAUACUGAUAUAGGGUCCUCUAGGAUCUUGUAAUUGGAAUGAGUACAAUUUAAACCCAUUAACGAGGAACAACUAGAGGGCAAGUCUGGUGCCAGCAGCCGCGGUAAUUCCAGCUCUAGUAGCAUACAUUAAAAUUGUUGCAGUUAAAACGCCCGUAGUUGAAGUUUGGGCCUGGUCAACUGGUCUGCCUCACCGCGAGUACUGGUGUGAUUGGGUCUUUUUUCUUGGUGAACUGCAUGCUCUUUAUUGGGCGUGUUAGUGAACUAGGACUUUUACUUUGAAAAAAUUAGAGUGUUUAAAGCAGGCUUUUGCUCGAAUACCUUAGCAUGGAAUAAUGGAAUAUGACGAGUGGUUGUUUUUCAUUGGUUUUCACGACUACCGUAAUGAUUGAUAGGGAUGGUCGGGGGCAUCGGUAUUCGAUCGUCAGAGGUGAA
rnacentral:rRNA from 1 species